UCUUCAGGGACCGUGCGCCAAGGGUUGAGGUGUGCUUCUGGUUCACCUUCUGCAGAUUCGAUUUGUUUGGCUAUAUUAUGCCUUCUUCUCCUGGGAUUCGAUUCUUUCUGUUUAAACCUUGCUUUUGUUCCUAUCCCCGACCAUGGUCUUGUCUUCUUCUUGUUUUUCAAGCUUUGCUCCUCCCUGUUCGAUUUUGGAGGCGUUCCUUUUGUUUCUAUCUCCUUCUGAGAUUUAGUCUUCUUCUUGUUCUUUUCGUCUUAGUUCUGAACUGUUGUCUUGAAGCGUUUUGGGUGAACUUCUGGUUUCCUUUAGAUCUCGCAUCUUCUGUGGCUCUUCCAUUUCUCUUUUUGCAGGUCAACAUCUUGCUGGGAAUUUACAGCUUGGGUGGACGCGGCUGCUUUCCUCGGUUCAGUGUUCGGCUGUGUUGGUGGCUAUUUGGCCUUAAAGUGGCAAUUACCGCCCUAUAGAGGAGAAUUUCCAGGACUUUUCGGUUGUUAGUGUCACACAGCUGCAGAAUGAUUGGAGUGGUUCAAAUGUUUUGGAAACUAGAUGUCUUUCUACUACAGAAAAUUCAAACUAUUAAGGGCAGAACUACUUCCUUUCUGGUGUUUUCCAUGGUGUGAUUAUACCAUGUUUUGCCGUCUCUCUGACAAGAUCACGCUGCUGUCACAACCCUUUCUUGGGAUGAUCAUGGCGUCACUGGCUGGAUGAGCUUUAAGGUAGUUGAUAAUGUUCUACUUUUCAGGUUUGUUGGCUUCGAGUACAGCCAAAUAUUAUGCAGAUUUUUUUUAGUUCAUGAGAAUAUGUAGGAAGUCUGAUUAACAAUCUGCAGUAAUUUACCAUUUUCCUUAUAGCCAGUAUCCAUUGGUGUGUUUUAUGUUAUUUGUCUGUCAUAAGAGGACCACUUUAAUUAUUACAACUCCAGUUGCGUUUUUUGGUUCAGAGAAAUUACUUUUAUUGUAUCUUCGAGGGAAUAUGCUUUAAUGCGAGGAAAUUACUGGAGGUCCUUCCUAUAUUAUGUGUGGUGAAUUUGUAGAUGAUCUGAUAGAUAAAUAAUGGUUAUGUUUCUUCUCAUCCACUCUGCCGGUUCCAUUACUGACAUGGUAGAUGGUUACAUUUUUUUGAUUUUGUGUGACACCCAUGUAAAGAUCAAGUAAAGGUACUUUAAUAUUUUCAUUUCAAAGGAAUUGUUUUCCUCGCCUCACAAUGGCUUUAUCUUAGCGAGUGUUUCUAUCUUCUUAUCUUCUGUUGUUUUUUUGCUUGGUUCCUAUUUGCUGCUCGGUGUUCUUUCCCUACCUUAAGACAAUGAUAUAGUUCCUGGCAAACACCUAUAUAUGACUAGCUCUCUGCUACAUAGGUACUUCUUUGUAUUUGUCUUUACAGUGCAUUUUUGUGACCCGUGGAUUGUACACUUACAUGCCUAAUCUGGUACUUGAUUGUGCCUUUUUAGGGUGUACUUGGACUAGAAAAGUUUAAUGUUCUUUGAUGCAAUAUAUAUGCUGUUGCUAGCAUGUCAGGUUAGUGGCAUCUAAGUAAUACUAUGUAUUACUAUGGCAGUAUGGCGAGAUUACAUAGACUGUAUGACAGACUAAAUUUUAUUAGUAUUAGUAUGUACAUGCUGA